UACGAAGGGGGCUAGCGUUGCUCGGAAUCACUGGGCGUAAAGGGCGCGUAGGCGGCCUCUUGCGUCGGAUGUGAAAGCCCGGGGCUCAACCCCGGAACGGCAUCCGAUACGGAGGGGCUCGAGACCGGGAGAGGAGGGUGGAAUACCCAGUGUAGAGGUGAAAUUCGUAGAUAUUGGGUGGAACACCGGUGGCGAAAGCGGCUCUCUGGCCCGGUUCUGACGCUGAGGCGCGAAAGCGUGGGGAGCAAACAGG
rnacentral:rRNA from 1 species